AACGAACGCUGGCGGCAUGCCUAACACAUGCAAGUCGAACGGCAGCGGACCUUCGGGUGCCGGCGAGUGGCGAACGGGUGAGUAAUAUAUCGGAACGUACCUUUCAGUGGGGGAUAACGUAGCGAAAGUUACGCUAAUACCGCAUAUUCUGUGAGCAGGAAAGCAGGGGAUCGCAAGACCUUGCGCUGAUUGAGCGGCCGAUAUCAGAUUAGCUAGUUGGUGAGGUAAAGGCUCACCAAGGCGACGAUCUGUAGCGGGUCUGAGAGGAUGAUCCGCCACACUGGAACUGAGACACGGUCCAGACUCCUACGGGAGGCAGCAGUGGGGAAUUUUGGACAAUGGGCGCAAGCCUGAUCCAGCCAUGCCGCGUGAGUGAAGAAGGCC
rnacentral:rRNA from 1 species